AUGGCUCAGGACGAACGCUGGCGGCGUGCUUAACACAUGCAAGUCGAGCGGUAAGGCCUUUCGGGGUACACGAGCGGCGAACGGGUGAGUAACACGUGGGUGAUCUGCCCUGCACUCUGGGAUAAGCCUGGGAAACUGGGUCUAAUACUGGAUAUGACCUGCUCUCGCAUGGGGGUGGGUGGAAAGAUUUAUCGGUGCAGGAUGGGCCCGCGGCCUAUCAGCUUGUUGGUGGGGUAAUGGCCUACCAAGGCGACGACGGGUAGCCGACCUGAGAGGGUGACCGGCCACACUGGGACUGAGACACGGCCCAGACUCCUACGGGAGGCAGCAGUGGGGAAUAUUGCACAAUGGGCGGAAGCCUGAUGCAGCGACGCCGCGUGAGGGAUGAAGGCCUUCGGGUUGUAAACCUCUUUCAGCAGGGACGAAGCGUGAGUGACGGUACCUGCAGAAGAAGCACCGGCUAACUACGUGCCAGCAGCCGCGGUAAUACGUAGGGUGCGAGCGUUGUCCGGAAUUACUGGGCGUAAAGAGUUCGUAGGCGGUUUGUCGCGUCGUUUGUGAAAACCCGGGGCUCAACUUCGGGCUUGCAGGGCGAUACGGGCAGACUUGAGUGUUUCAGGGGAGACUGGAAUUCCUGGUGUAGCGGUGAAAUGCGCAGAUAUCAGGAGGAACACCGGUGGCGAAGGCGGGUCUCUGGGAAACAACUGACGCUGAGGAACGAAAGCGUGGGUAGCAAACAGGAUUAGAUACCCUGGUAGUCCACGCCGUAAACGGUGGGCGCUAGGUGU
rnacentral:rRNA from 1 species